UACGAAGGGUGCAAACGUUGCUCGGAAUUAUUGGGCGUAAAGCGCACGUAGGCGGCUCAAAAAGUCCCAUGUGAAAGCCCACGGCUUAACCGUGGAAGUGCAUGGGAUACUGUUGAGCUUGAGUACUUAAGAGGAUCGCGGAAUUCCCGGUGUAGAGGUGAAAUUCGUAGAUAUUCGCAAGAACACCAGUGGCGAAGGCGGCUCACUGGCCCGGUACUGACGCUGAGGUGCGAAAGCGUGGGGAGCAAACAGG
rnacentral:rRNA from 1 species